GCUCUUGAGUAUAUUAAACUACUCAAUCUAAAAACUAAAAUACACACCGUACUCAUCUGACUACAUGGCAAAUUCUCAAAUCAAAUUUAGGGUUUAAAUUUUCAAUGUUACGAUAUUUCUUUCUUUCUUGGCCAUUCCAGUUUACAUAUUAUAGAUGUUAGGAAUUGAAAAAAGAAAAAGAAACCAAAGGUGUGGCAAGCUGGAUGAAAGUUGUGAAGUUCGUGCAAGCUUGGACACAUGAAUUGCAUAACAAGGCAACAAACACAGUAGGCCUCACAUACAUAGGCAUCCUCUUUUAGCACACUCUAUUUUUUCUGUAAAUCCUGGACCUACUUCUAAGCUGUCUUGCGUUGGUUCGACGAAGCUUGGAAUUGGGAGCUACAAUUGAUGCCUUUGUUUUGCUGGGAGCAAGUUUCCCUUUCUGCACAUCAGAUGAACGGAAUUAUUGAAUCCCGAAUCCACCAUACACAAACUUGAAUAUAUAGGAAGCAUAAACAAACCAUUUUGUUCCGUUCAAUUCAAUUCAUUUGUUGGAGUCUGUAGGGAAGAUUCAGAUCAAGCUUCACAAUAUUCCAAAGUCAAUGCAAAUCUUUCUACCCAAAGCUUCAACUUGCCUCAAUUCUUUAAUCUCAUCUCCAGACCACGUAAUUCACAGUGGAAAACAAUUAUGAGAUCGAAUAACUCCCCAAGUCUCAAUGUGCAUUCAACUUUGACGGAAGGACAUUUUAGGUUUCCCAAACUCGAUUUGCAAUGGAAUCCAGAAUCGAUAUUCCGAGCAAUAUCUUAGCCAGGGAGGAAACAGGAAAAACAAAAACCAGAAUGCACAGCUCACCUAGAAUCAAUUGUGAGAAUCCUCUCUCCAAGCUUUCGUCUCUGCCCGAAGGCAAUCGGAACCCCUUCCCUCUGACGAUUGCUACCGCGUCGGAGACACAACAAACGAUCUUUUCAAGCUUUCAUAUCUGGUCGAAGACAAACAGAUCCCCUUCCUCUGUUGCGCCGGAGACAAAACCUCCAGUGCGCCGUCCCAGUCGUUGGCGGAAGAAGAAGAAUCGCACGUCGUUAGCGGAAGAAGGAGGCUGGAACGAACAGUCAGGUUUUUGGGGUUUUUUUUAAUUGACUUGGUGGCGUUUUGUUGAGUCUAAUUAAACGGCAGCAUUUUGUAGAUAUGACGUUUAUUAAUAUGG
rnacentral:lncRNA from 1 species